rnacentral:SRP_RNA from 1 species
GCUGAGUUGGGUAGCGCCAACUUGUGACCCAAGUGGGAGCACCAAAGUGAUGGAAUGUGGCUACGGCUUGUUUGGCUGGUCUGUUAGCUGCAAUAUGCUGGCCUGCCCGCUCCAAGUUGAGAGUUGUGCCACGGGACAUGGGUGAAGGUCUAUGUCUCUUGGUCCCUAGACGAGGGGGAAUUGCGUGAGGCUGGUUUCACAGAGCAGCGAAUACUUCUGGCUCCCAACAGUGGAGGGACUACAGGCUGCUGCACUUCCAGUACACUAAGCCCGGUGAGCCUAGCCUUUGAACCAUCACUUUUU